UUGACAACAUUUUAGUAAGGAAAACAAAUAACAAAACCAAAACAAAAUGAAAUGGCAAACAACAACAAAAAACAAGCAUUACUUAGGCUGUUAAUGAAUUUGAUUAAAUUGAAAUAUGGUAAUUAAACAAAAUUGAAAUAAAUCACAAAAUAAAAUUCGUAAACAAUCUAGUUAAGCUUUAAUUUCAAAGGAACUUAAAGAGAAUCGUCGUUUCCCUAUUUAUUUCUUCAAUUUGUUUGCUCCUCGACGAAAACGAAAGACAAAACAAAAAUAAUCAUAAAACAGCUGCUAAUCUGUUGAUUACCCUCUCCAAACCAAUCUGAACUAAACUAUAAACUUUGUUCAACUGUUAAGUCAUCACUAUCUCUCUUUCUCUCUUACUCUCUUCAACUUAUAUAUAACUCUGUAUUAAAAAUUCACAUAAUUCUUAUUUUAUCUCUCCCUAUUUCUUCGUCUCUCUUUUUAAUUGUUCUCUGAGAUAUGACUUUUAACAAACUUAAUCUUUGGUAUUGAUGAGUUUGAUACAAAAUCUGAUACCUAUGUUAAUUUACAGAGUACUGUGUAUAUUUUUCUCUAUUUUUUGGAGUAAAAAUAUUUAGUUUUUUUUUAAUGAACAGGAAAAAUAGUUUUUUAUACAUAAACGUAAUAACACGAUGAAGCAGCUUUAUAAAUAAAAAAUUACAUAUAAUUUUGUUGUUUUCUGUAAUAUGACAAACUAAUUGGUUUUCUAAUAUUGUUUAUUGUUAUCUUAAUAUUAAGUAGGCAAUUUUGUUGUUUUUUUUUUUUUUAAAUAUACAUAUAUUUUUGUUAUGUUAACCUAUAUUAAUUAUUUAUUGAAGCGGGGUAAUAAAGUAGUUAACGGCAUAGUAGGAAUUUUUAUGGCUUUCCAA
rnacentral:sRNA from 1 species